AGGAAACCUACUUCCUGCGCCAGCUCAAGCUGGCCACCUCAUCAUUCACCUUAUUGAGGGAAAUGCUAUUACUCCUCAGUAUUGGGGUCCCUGGCUCACCUAAAGCUGAGACCCAACGUUCCCUUCAAAGGCCUAUAUAAACUGCGAAGCUGGGUUUGAACUUCAGAUCCUCUUGUCUCUUGUCUCACCCUCCCAGAGAGCUGGGAUAACUGGCUCCCUGCAAAGAAACCAAAGUCAGAAGGAGAGCUUCCAGACCCUGCCUCUCUCCUUCACCUCAGACAGCCAGUCCCGGCCCCUCGUCAGCCAUCUUUGUUUCCAGUCACUGCUUUUCACCGGCCAUCAGCCUCACAC